GGGCCCGCACAAGCGGUGGAGCAUGUGGUUUAAUUCGAUGAUACGCGAGGAACCUUACCAGGACUUAAAUGUAAGUUGCAUGAUUCAGAAAUGAAUCUUUCUUCGGACUACUUACAAGGUGCUGCAUGGUUGUCGUCAGCUCGUGCCGUGAGGUGUCAGGUUAAGUCCUAUAACGAGCGCAACCCCUAUCGUUAGUUGCCAUCAAGUAAAGUUGGGAACUCUAGCGAAACUGCCGGUGCAAACCGAGAGGAAGGUGGGGAUGACGUCAAAUCAUCACGGCCCUUACGUUCUGGGCUACACACGUGCUACAAUGGUCGGUACAGAAAGCAGCCACUAUGCGAAUAGGAGCUAAUCUUUAAACCUUAUCUCAGUUCGGAUCGAAGUCUGCAACUCGACUUCGUGAAGUUGGAAUC
rnacentral:rRNA from 1 species